GCGCUUGCUCUGGUAGCACAUAUACUAACAUUGGAAUGAUACAGAGAAGACUAGCAUGUCCCCUGCGCAAGGAAGACAUACAAAUUCAUGAAGCGCUCCAUAUUCAU